UACGGAGGGGGCUAGCGUUGUUCGGAAUUACUGGGCGUAAAGCGCACGUAGGCGGCUUUGUAAGUUAGAGGUGAAAGCCCAGGGCUUAACCCUGGAAUUGCCUUUAAGACUGCAUCGCUAGAAUCGUGGAGAGGUGAGUGGAAAUUCCGAGUGUAGAGGUGAAAUUCGUAGAUAUUCGGAAGAACACCAGUGGCGAAGGCGACUCACUGGACACGUAUUGACGCUGAGGUGCGAAAGCGUGGGGAGCAAACAGG
rnacentral:rRNA from 1 species